UCUGUAGCAAGGUUAACCGAAUAGGGGAGCCGAAGGGAAACCGAGUCUUAACUGGGCGUUAAGUUGCAGGGUAUAGACCCGAAACCCGGUGAUCUAGCCAUGGGCAGGUUGAAGGUUGGGUAACACUAACUGGAGGACCGAACCGACUAAUGUUGAAAAAUUAGCGGAUGACUUGUGGCUGGGGGUGAAAGGCCAAUCAAACCGGGAGAUAGCUGGUUCUCCCCGAAAGCUAUUUAGGUAGCGCCUCGUGAAUUCAUCUCCGGGGGUAGAGCACUGUUUCGGCAAGGGGGUCAUCCCGACUUACCAACCCGAUGCAAACUGCGAAUACCGGAGAAUGUUAUCACGGGAGACACACGGCGGGUGCUAACGUCCGUCGUGAAGAGGGAAACAACCCAGACCGCCAGCUAAGGUCCCAAAGUCAUGGUUAAGUGGGAAACGAUGUGGGAAGGCCCAGACAGCCAGGAUGUUGGCUUAGAAGCAGCCAUCAUUUAAAGAAAGCGUAAUAGCUCACUGGUCGAGUCGGCCUGCGCGGAAGAUGUAACGGGGCUAAACCAUGCACCGAAGCUGCGGCAGCGACGCUUAUGCGUUGUUGGGUAGGGGAGCGUUCUGUAAGCCUGCGAAGGUGUGCUGUGAGGCAUGCUGGAGGUAUCAGAAGUGCGAAUGCUGACAUAAGUAACGAUAAAGCGGGUGAAAAGCCCGCUCGCCGGAAGACCAAGGGUUCCUGUCCAACGUUAAUCGGGGCAGGGUGAGUCGACCCCUAAGGCGAGGCCGAAAGGCGUAGUCGAUGGGAAACAGGUUAAUAUUCCUGUACUUGGUGUUACUGCGAAGGGGGGACGGAGAAGGCUAUGUUGGCCGGGCGACGGUUGUCCCGGUUUAAGCGUGUAGGCUGGUUUUCCAGGCAAAUCCGGAAAAUCAAGGCUGAGGCGUGAUGACGAGGCACUACGGUGCUGAAGCAACAAAUGCCCUGCUUCCAGGAAAAGCCUCUAAGCAUCAGGUAACAUCAAAUCGUACCCCAAACCGACACAGGUGGUCAGGUAGAGAAUACCAAGGCGCUUGAGAGAACUCGGGUGAAGGAACUAGGCAAAAUGGUGCCGUAACUUCGGGAGAAGGCACGCUGAUAUGUAGGUGAAGUCCCUCGCGGAUGGAGCUGAAAUCAGUCGAAGAUACCAGCUGGCUGCAACUGUUUAUUAAAAACACAGCACUGUGCAAACACGAAAGUGGACGUAUACGGUGUGACGCCUGCCCGGUGCCGGAAGGUUAAUUGAUGGGGUUAGCGCAAGCGAAGCUCUUGAUCGAAGCCCCGGUAAACGGCGGCCGUAACUAUAACGGUCCUAAGGUAGCGAAAUUCCUUGUCGGGUAAGUUCCGACCUGCACGAAUGGCGUAAUGAUGGCCAGGCUGUCUCCACCCGAGACUCAGUGAAAUUGAACUCGCUGUGAAGAUGCAGUGUACCCGCGGCAAGACGGAAAGACCCCGUGAACCUUUACUAUAGCUUGACACUGAACAUUGAGCCUUGAUGUGUAGGAUAGGUGGGAGGCUUUGAAGUGUGGACGCCAGUCUGCAUGGAGCCGACCUUGAAAUACCACCCUUUAAUGUUUGAUGUUCUAACGUUGACCCGUAAUCCGGGUUGCGGACAGUGUCUGGUGGGUAGUUUGACUGGGGCGGUCUCCUCCUAAAGAGUAACGGAGGAGCACGAAGGUUGGCUAAUCCUGGUCGGACAUCAGGAGGUUAGUGCAAUGGCAUAAGCCAGCUUGACUGCGAGCGUGACGGCGCGAGCAGGUGCGAAAGCAGGUCAUAGUGAUCCGGUGGUUCUGAAUGGAAGGGCCAUCGCUCAACGGAUAAAAGGUACUCCGGGGAUA
rnacentral:rRNA from 1 species